UCUCAGCGUCAGGCUACCAAAGAUGCUGGAACUAUUGCUGGUCUCAAUGUACUUAGAAUUAUUAAUGAGCCAACUGCUGCUGCUAUUGCUUACGGCUUAGACAAAAAGCACCCAGGCCAGUAUUGAGAUCGAUUCUCUCUAUGAAGGAAUCGACUUCUAUACCUCCAUUACCCGUGCCCGAUUUGAAGAAUUGAAUGCUGACCUGUUUCGUGGCACCCUGGACCCAGUAGAGAAAGCCCUUCGAGAUGCCAAAUUGGACAAGUCACAGAUUCAUGAUAUUGUCCUGGUUGGUGGUUCUACUCGUAUCCCCAAGAUUCAGAAGCUUCUCCAAGACUUUUUCAAUGGAAAAGAACUGAAUAAGAGCAUCAACCCUGAUGAAGCUGUUGCUUAUGGUGCAGCUGUCCAGGCAGCCAUCUUGUCUGGAGACAAGUCUGAGAAUGUUCAAGAUUUGCUGCUCUUGGAUGUCACUCCUCUUUCCCUUGGUAUUGAAACUGCUGGUGGAGU
rnacentral:sRNA from 1 species